rnacentral:rRNA from 1 species
GACGAACGCUGGCGGCAUGCCUAACACAUGCAAGUCGAGCGAGUUGAUCCCUUCGGGGUGAAGCUAGCGGCGGACGGGUGAGUAACACGUGGGCAACCUGCCUCAUAGAGGGGAAUAGCCUUCCGAAAGGAAGAUUAAUACCGCAUAAGAUUGUAGCUUCGCAUGAAGCAGCAAUUAAAGGAGCAAUCCGCUAUGAGAUGGGCCCGCGGCGCAUUAGCUAGUUGGUGAGGUAACGGCUCACCAAGGCGACGAUGCGUAGCCGACCUGAGAGGGUGAUCGGCCACAUUGGGACUGAGACACGGCCCAGACUCCUACGGGAGGCAGCAGUGGGGAAUACUGCACAAUGGGGGAAACCCUGAUGCAGCAAUGCCGCGUGAGUGAUGACGGCCUUCGGGUUGUAAAGCUCUGUCUUCGGGGACGAUAAUGACGGUACCCGAGGAGGAAGCCACGGCUAACUACGUGCCAGCAGCCGCGGUAA